GACGAACGCUGGCGGCGUGCCUAAUACAUGCAAGUCGAACGCAGUGGGGACGGGUGAGUAACACGUGGGUAACCUCCCAUCAGAGGGGAUAACACUUGGAAACAGGUGCUAAACCGAUACUGAUGGAUGAACCCGCGGUGCAUUAGCUAGUUGGUGAGGUAACGGCCCACCAAGGCCACGAUGCAUAGCCGGCCUGGGAGGGUGACCGGCCAAAAUGGGACUGGGCAACGGCCCAGACUCCGACGGGAGGCAGCAGUAGGGAAUCUUCGGCAAUGGACGAAAGUCUGACCAAGCAACGCCGCGGUAGUGAAGAAGGGUUUCGGAUCGUAAAGCUCUGUUGUUAGAGAAGCGGUAACUAACCAGAAAGGGACGGCUAACUACGUGCCAGCAGCCGCGGUAAUAC
rnacentral:rRNA from 1 species